GGCCUGUAUAAGCAGGUACGGUCACUGCGGACAAUCCUCCUCAGAUAGCUGAACUCACCAAUACUGGUUUCAUUCAAAAGCUGGUUUAUUCUGAACAUCACACAACAGGAAUACAGCAAAAUGAAUGGAUUUCAGUAUUAUGCGGUCAAAAGAUGAUGCUUUCCUUAGCUUAGCAUGUGGGAUACAAGAGUCCCAGUUACAUGAGGCAAAUGCAAUCAGCCAUGACACAGGAAGUACCGCCAGAGCAGGGGUGGAGUUUUACA
rnacentral:lncRNA from 1 species